rnacentral:rRNA from 1 species
AGUGAACGCUGGCGGUAGGCCUAACACAUGCAAGUCGAACGGCAGCACAGUAGGAGCUUGCUCUUACGGGUGGCGAGUGGCGGACGGGUGAGGAAUACAUCGGAAUCUACUUUUUCGUGGGGGAUAACGUAGGGAAACUUACGCUAAUACCGCAUACGACCUACGGGUGAAAGCAGGGGAUCUUCGGACCUUGCGCGAUUGAAUGAGCCGAUGUCGGAUUAGCUAGUUGGCGGGGUAAAGGCCCACCAAGGCGACGAUCCGUAGCUGGUCUGAGAGGAUGAUCAGCCACACUGGAACUGAGACACGGUCCAGACUCCUACGGGAGGCAACAGUGGGGAAUAUUGGACAAUGGGCGCAGGCCUGAUCCAGCCAUACCGCGUGGGUGAAGAAGGCCUUCGGGUUGUAAAGCCCUUUUGUUGGGAAAGAAAAGCAGCAGGUUAAUACCCCGCUGUUCUGACGGUACCCAAAGAAUAAGCACCGGCUAACUUCGUG